rnacentral:rRNA from 1 species
UGGCCUACGGGAGGCAGCAGUGGGGAAUAUUGCACAAUGGGGGAAACCCUGAUGCAGCGACGCCGCGUGAGCGAAGAAGUAUCUCGGUAUGUAAAGCUCUAUCAGCAGGGAAGAAAAUGACGGUACCCGACUAAGAAGCCCCGGCUAACUACGUGCCAGCAGCCGCGGUAAUACGUAGGGGGCGAGCGUUAUCCGGAUUUACUGGGUGUAAAGGGAGCGCAGGCGGCGCGGUAAGUCUGAUGUGAAAGCCCGGGGCUCAACCCCGGCCCGCCGUUGAAACUGGCAGUCUCGAGUUGGAGAGAAGU